rnacentral:rRNA from 1 species
AAUGAACGCUGGCGGCAUGCCUUACACAUGCAAGUCGAACGGCAGCAUGACCUAGCUUGCUAGGUUGAUGGCGAGUGGCGAACGGGUGAGUAAUGCAUCGGAACGUGCCUUUUAGUGGGGGAUAACGUAGCGAAAGUUACGCUAAUACCGCAUAUUCUCUGAGGAGGAAAGCAGGGGACCUUCGGGCCUUGCGCUAGAAGAGCGGCCGAUGUCGGAUUAGCUAGUUGGUGAGGUAAAGGCUCACCAAGGCAACGAUCCGUAGCGGGUCUGAGAGGAUGAUCCGCCACACUGGGACUGAGACACGGCCCAGACUCCUACGGGAGGCAGCAGUGGGGAAUUUUGGACAAUGGGCGCAAGCCUGAUCCAGCCAUGCCGCGUGAGUGAAGAAGGCCUUCGGGUUGUAAAGCUCUUUGGGCUGGGAAGAAAUCGCACCCUCUAAUACAGGGUGUGGAUGACGGUACCAGCAUAAGAAGCACCGGCUAACUACGUG